rnacentral:rRNA from 1 species
AUUGAACGCUGGCGGCAGGCCUAACACAUGCAAGUCGAGCGAGCGGCGGACGGGUGAGUAAUGUAUGGGGACUGCCCGAUAGAGGGGGAUAACUACUGGAAACGGUGGCUAAUACCGCAUACUAUCGGAUAACCCAUAUGGGAGUAGCUCGUAGGUGGGGUAAAGGCUUACCUAGGCGACGAUCUAUAGCUGGUCUGAGAGGAUGCUUAGCCACACUAGUACUGAGACACGGCCCCGUCUCCUCCGGCGUCAGCAGAGGGGAAUAUUGCUCAGUGGGUGCAAGCCGGAUGCAGCCAUGCCGCGGGUAUGAAGUAGGCCUUAGGGUUGUAAAGUACUUUCAGCGGGGAGGCGUUACCCGCAGAAGAAGCACCGGCUAGCUCCGUGCCAGCAGCCGCGGUAAUUC